GGCGUGCCGAAACCCGCGCCGCGCUCUGGCUGCCUCCGGAGAAGCGUUUGUUCCACGCGGUGCCCACGGCCCCAUGCGCACAUGCUCGCGUGUUUGUGCGGUUUUCCCUCCCUCUGUAGUGGAACCUGAUUUUAAAACGAGGAAGGCGCGGCUCUAGAGAAAGAAAAGCGCUUCUGCGUAAUCCGAUCGAGAGAUGAAUGAAGCCCUUUCUGAUUCACAUCCAUUUGUAUCAUGACUGCACUAAAGACAAGCCAUACUACGGCGUGAAUAACUUUGGAGUGGAUUAUCUCUUGCAGUUCAUGUAAUUAACGACUGCACACACCAUCCAAAUGGGCAAAUAAUUGAUGUAUCACAGACUUGUUUAGAAAGUCAAGAUUUGAUUUCAUGUAACUGAAGUACAUCUGGGGAUUGUAUUUUUCAUAUGUGUGUAAAUAUGAAGAGAGCAGUUCCUAGUGUUUGCCUUCCUACAGCUCUUCCAUCUCAUGGCUGCAGGGACAAAGACUGUUUUCCCUGCCUGCCUGGUAUGUGGCAUUAGAUGCUACAGCCUUGUUCUUGCAAACAUAUGCUGCUUCAAGCAAGAAAAAUCUAUUGUGUACACAGGGGUUGACUGGGAUGGUCAAGAAAGUGGCGUAGUAUAAGUAAGUAUGUUGAAAACAUAAUUCUGAUUGCAGAUCUUCAACGCAACGUACUACCUUCAGUGCUCAGUGCUGCAUGGUCUGCUGUGCUUUGAGCUGAACCACAUGUUCAUAAAUGUCCUACUGUCUUUUCAGAAAUAUUUUAUAAGACAUAUCCUGAGUGCAGCAAUACAUAAGAAGACUCCAGUCAUGCAGAAAUACAGAGCUGGACAUACAUAGGUGUAUCCUGGUAGCUGAUGACCUUCCUUGCUUGUCUGUGAAGAUACAGGUUUACUGGAGAGAGGAAAAUUAUUCUUUGUGCCCUGCAUUAUGGCUGCUCCAUGAGCAUCUCCACCUGGCUUUGUGAUGGGUGUCUAAUUUUCUAUCUGGGAUGUACCUAGCUCUUUAUAUACCUCUGGGUUUGGACUCCAAAGCAGAACUUGGUAUAAAGUAAUGUUUACUGUUUCAGCUAUAUUAAAGUGCUUGAGUAAGUUAGUGCAUGAAUCUUAUAAUCCACAGAUUUUGGUGGAAUCUCUUUAAAGGGAUCUCAGACAGAAAGGUUUUCUCCAUCCGUAGCACUAUCCUUACAGGAACUCUCUUCAAGAAAGGGGCAGGAAUCCUACUGGAUGCUAUGAGAUGGUCUGCAAGAUGGGAGCCAUCUGCACUGAAGUUUCACGCCUUUGCAGCAGCUAUAGUCUUUCAAAGCAAGCUUCAUGUGGGAAUGGAAAGGUAUCUGGGGCAUCUGCAGUGUGUAUAAUGAAUAGUUCAUACAAGGAUACAAUCCAUAAUAUAUCCUUACAGGAGAACAGGAUAAAAUUGUGGGUUUCUGUUGCUUGAAAAUACACGCACAUAGGGCAAUAGCAGCAGGAAAGUACCCAGGGUUUAGGAACUGUGCUGAAUUUUGUAAGCAAUAUGAACUGGCUCUUGUAAUUAAAACGCCUUUAUUCAUUUUGUCAGGGAAAACAUAUUAACAUUUGCUUUGUUUCCAUUAGUGACCUGCAGUCUCUUUUUUGUAUACAUAUUUGAGUUAAACUUCUUCAACUUUGGGGAAGUCAGGAAGCUGCAGACAGCAGGUGGAUAGGAAAGUGCACCUCAGUACAGAGAGUGAACUGUGAAGGGAAACCUAGCAUUGCCACCUCAGUUAAGCAAGUUCCCAUAGUCAGGUGGUAUAUGGUAUUAAAUAAUAUGUGUAAUUGUUUUAUUUCUGCUAAUUGUUGUUAGUGAAGUCUCCAAGUCUCCAUCCUGUUUUCUGGCCGUAACUGGUGAAUGUUCUUGAAUAUGUGAUGUUUCCUUGAAAAAGCUGGAAAGUACUGGCAAGAAGCUAAGCAAACACUUAGGCAUUGCAUUCACCUUAAAAUAUGAUGCAACAAGAAAAGGCAUCAUAUUACCUUUCCUUUUGGGAAUUGUGGCAGAUAUUUGCUCCCUGAGACUUUCCAACAUCAAUACCUUGGUUAAUGCAUUUGGACUUACAAAAAAAUAGAUAAGUGGUCCCAUCCUUUGGUUUGGAUCCUUUGGAAUAAUUAAUCUACUCUGGUGGUCAAGAGUGUAAAGUCAACUUACAAGAAAAAAUAAACAACAGAAAGGACCUUUUGGAGUACGCGUAACAUGAAUUCAGUGUGUUUUGUUCCUUUCUCUUUUUACCUUAAAGACCACAUAGCCUCCAUUUCUAAAUGAACACGUGAAGCACCAGGAUUACUAAUUCAGCCUCAGGUCUUAAAUCAAUGGGAUUUUUGCCUUCGGCUCCUUUGGUGGAGGACAUGAAGUGAGGAUGUGUCUGCAACAUUCAGCCUAAUCUAAUAAAGAAAAGCAAAGCCUUCUGGGUAGAAAAAGCAGCAACUAUGUAUUAUGCGAUAACACCCAGUGUUAGGAUCAGUUGCAGAAAUAUUUUCUUCAUUGUGUGCUGGCAUUAAAGACAUUAACUGCUUAUGAGAUUGCAUGCCUGAACUUAGAGUAAAUGAAGGAGAUGUGUUCAUGGCUACAUUUUGGAUGUGCAGAGCCAGGAUCUGUACUGCUGACUUCAGAGGAGUUGUGCAGAGGAUGAGAGAGAGAGAAUGCAUCCUUUGGGAAUAAUUUAAAAUAGGUUUUUCACUGUUGAGAGACCCAUCCUCUAACCGUUGUGAUUCGGAUCAUCAGGCCCUCUCCCAGCUUGAAUCCACCUUUCCUGGGCUUGACUUAACAGAAAGUCUCCAGGUCAAUUGGACAGGAAGGAACUUCUUUCAGCCUGAACAGGCUCUUCCAAGAUCUGAAUGUCAGCUAACUGUAUUAUGCCAGCUAAUUAAGACACAAGGAGAAUGACGAUCCUGCUGAACACAGUGGGAUCCCACCACAGGAUUCAGCAGACUGUACCAAGUCACAUGGGGCUGGCUUUUGCAUUAUGACAGCUGUUGCUACCUUGCCAGCGAGAAAGAUGACUGUAAUUGGAAAACCUUUUCCUUCCGGACUAAAGGACAAGCAGCAGAGAGAAGAGAGAAAGUAAUCAGGAACAGCCCAGGACUUAAGGUUGUGUCAGAAUAUCUGGAGUUGUAGCAGAAACAAUUUCUGGCCACUGAGGAAAACCUGACAUAUUGACCCAGCACCAUAUACUACAACUGCCUUCUGAUGAUUUGGGAGGAAAGAAGGCAAAUGAGAAGAAUCAGUCAAAAUGAACUCUGUAAAAGCUCACAAGGUGCUUGAGAAGGGAAAUUAAAUUGCAUGGUAUUUAGCAAAAAAGUAUAAACAGAGGAAAGGAAAGGAUGUAAAUCUGGUAUGCAGGGUGGAGCAAGACGAUUAUCUAAUAGGGCUUA